UACGUAGGGUGCGAGCGUUAAUCGGAAUUACUGGGCGUAAAGGGUGCGUAGGCGGAUGUAUAAGUUAGAUGUGAAAAGCCUGGGCUUAACCUAGGUCGUGCAUUUAAGACUGUAUGUCUAGAGUUAGUUAGAGGGGGGUAGAAUUCCAAGUGUAGCAGUGAAAUGCGUAGAGAUUUGGAGGAAUACCGAUGGCGAAGGCAGCCCCCUGGGAUGUAACUGACGCUGAGGCACGAAAGCGUGGGUAGCAAACAGG
rnacentral:misc_RNA from 1 species